AGCGAAGUACCUGAAUUACCACUUACAAGUGGUUUACCGUUUUCACGUUAUGGCGGUUCCCAUAUUUUGUUCAAAGCUUUCCCAAAUUUAAUUUCCCUGUGCUACAAGAUCUUUUAGGCAAAAGUGUUAGCAACAUAUGAAAGCCCCUCAAGGUAUUCUCACUAAAGUAUUGGCACCCCAACAAAUCUGUGGUUUCAUAACAAAUUUUUAAACACA
rnacentral:lncRNA from 1 species